UGGGGAAUUUUGAACAAUGGGCGAAAGCCUGAUCCAGCAAUGCCGCGUGUGUGAAGAAGGCCUUCGGGUUGUAAAGCACUUUUGUCCGGAAAGAAAUCCUUGGCUCUAAUACAGUCGGGGGAUGACGGUACCGGAAGAAUAAGCACCGGCUAACUACGUGCCAGCAGCCGCGGUAAUACGUAGGGUGCAAGCGUUAAUCGGAAUUACUGGGCGUAAAGCGUGCGCAGGCGGUUUGCUAAGACCGAUGUGAAAUCCCCGGGCUCAACCUGGGAACUGCAUUGGUGACUGGCAGGCUAGAGUAUGGCAGAGGGGGGUAGAAUUCCACGUGUAGCAGUGAAAUGCGUAGAGAUGUGGAGGAAUACCGAUGGCGAAGGCAGCCCCCUGGGCCAAUACUGACGCUCAUGCACGAAAGCGUGGGGAGCAAACAGGAUUAGAUACCCUGGUAGUCCACGCCCUAAACGAUGUCAACUAGUUGUUGGGGAUUCAUUUCCUUAGUAACGUAGCUAACGCGUGAAGUUGACCGCCUGGGGAGUACGGUCGCAAGAUUAAAACUCAAAGGAAUUGACGGGGUCAUAGCUGUUUCCU
rnacentral:rRNA from 1 species